rnacentral:rRNA from 1 species
AUAUUGGUCAAUGGACGAGAGUCUGAACCAGCCAAGUAGCGUGAAGGAUGACUGCCCUAUGGGUUGUAAACUUCUUUUAUAAGGGAAUAAAGUGAGGGACGUGUCCCUUUUUGUAUGUACCUUAUGAAUAAGGAUCGGCUAACUCCGCGCCAGCAGCCGCGGUAAUACGGAGGAUCCAAGCGUUAUCCGGACUUAUUGGGGUUAAAGGGAGCGUAGGUAGACAUAUACGUCAGAUGUGAAAGUUUACGGCUCAACCGUGAAAAUGCAGUUGAUACUGUAUGUCUUGAGUGUACAAGAGAUGGACGGGAUUCGUGGUGUAGCGGUGAAAUGCGUAGAGAUCACGAAGAACUCCAAUUGCGAAGGCAGCUCACUGGGGUACAACUGACACUGAGGCUCGAAAGUGUGGGUAUCAAACAG